rnacentral:rRNA from 1 species
UGGGGAAUAUUGCACAAUGGGCGCAAGCCUGAUGCAGCAACGCCGCGUGAGGGAUGACGGCCUUCGGGGUUGUAAAACCUCUUUUAGCAGGGAAGAAGCGAAAAGUGACGGUACCUGCAGAAAAAGCACCGGCUAACUACGUGCCAGCAGCCGCGGUAAUACGUAGGGUGCAAAGCGUUUGUCCCGGGAAAUUAUUGGGCGUAAAGAGCUCGUAGGCGGUCUGUCGCGUCUGCUGUGAAAUCCCGAGGCUCAACCUCGGGCCUGCAGUGGGUACGGGCAGACUAGAGUGCGGUAGGGGAGAAUGGAACUCCUGGUGUAGCGGUGGAAUGCGCAGAUAUCAGGAAGAACACCGAUGGCGAAGGCAGUUCUCUGGGCCGUAACUGACGCUGAGGAGCGAAAGCGUGGGGAGCGAACAGGAUUAGAUACCCUGGUAGUCCACGCCGUAAACGUUGGGCGCUAGAUGUGGGGACCAUUCCACGGUUUCCGUAUCGCAGCUAACGCAUUAAGCGCCCCGCCUGGGGAGUACGGCCGCAAGGCUAAAACUCAAA